rnacentral:rRNA from 1 species
GAUGAACGCUGGCGGCGUGCUUAACACAUGCAAGUCGAACGAUGAAGCCCAGCUUGCUGGGUGGAUUAGUGGCGAACGGGUGAGUAACACGUGAGUAACCUGCCCUUAACUCUGGGAUAAGCCUGGGAAACUGGGUCUAAUACCGGAUAGGAGCGCCUACCGCAUGGUGGGUGUUGGAAAGAUUUAUCGGUUUUGGAUGGACUCGCGGCCUAUCAGCUUGUUGGUGAGGUAAUGGCUCACCAAGGCGACGACGGGUAGCCGGCCUGAGAGGGUGACCGGCCACAGGGGGACGGAGACCCGCCCGGACCCCCGGGGGGGGGAGGGAGGGGGAAUUUUUGAAAAGGGGGCGAAGCCUGGAUGCAGCACCGCGGGGGGGGGGAGGAGGGCUUUGGGUUGUUACCCUUUUUGCAGAGGGGAAAAAGGGAAAGGAGGGGAACGUAAAAAAGAGACCCGGACAACCUCGGGC